rnacentral:rRNA from 1 species
CACGUAGGGGGCAAGCGUUGUCCGGAAUCAUUGGGCGUAAAGAGCUCGUAGGCGGCUCAGUAAGUCGGGUGUGAAACCUCCAGGCUCAACCUGGAGACGCCACCCGAUACUGCUGUGGCUAGAGUCCAGUAGGGGAGUGUGGAAUUCUCGGUGUAGCGGUGAAAUGCGUAGAUAUCGAGAGGAACACCUGCGGCGAAGGCGGGUUGCUGGGCUGAUACUGACGCUGAGGCGCGAAAGCCAGGGGAGCGAACGGG